UGUCUUAUCUAAUGUACUUCCUCCAAAAUGUGAUGUCACCAUCAUCUCGGGAUUUUACUCCGGAUGGAGACGCCAUCUUGUUACACAAGGUGUUUGGUCGAUGGGAGGGGGUGCUCUAGCAUCGACCAAACACCUUCAGUAAAUACUGAAUACAGGUAUACAUAGUAAAUAGACAUUUUACCUACAUUAGUUUCUAUCCAUAACAUACAUAAUAAGAAAACCUAUAGAUAAAAGUAUAGGUUACAUAGAAGGACAAAUAAGACAGAUUAAUAAGGUUGCAGAAAAAG